UCUGCUCUUCAUCAUGGACGGCCAUAACUUUAAAUACACGACGGUAAUUUACAAUCAAACACAUCCAGAUGGACGGCUCCCCCAAAGCCAAAUCUAUACCCAGGACGCAGAUUUCUAGAGGAAAAUGCAGCCAAGCCAGAUACAAAAACAUCUGAGGGAACAAAAAGUCCCCACCACUGUAAAGCGAUGGUUCCCUCUGCUGCUCUGAAUGGAGCACCACAUGAAGGAGAUGAGGAGGACAGCUGCCAGGCGUCUGGGAGGACCUACAGUCGGACACCAAGGCCCAGGAAAUGGGCAAGGGGCAUGCAUGCGGAAGACAGAAGUGACAGUGGGGAGGGCAGACAUACCCCUCUCUAGUCCUCGUUAAAGUGUGAGGGCCCAGCCUUGUACACCCCUGAGGCCCCACUGCGUGGACAGUCCUGCAGCAUGGGCCACCGUUACCUGUGUUAGGCCCAGCACCUCGAGAAGAUGGACCACGGAGGAUGCCCACUCUGUGAAUAACCACUGCACUCCAGCCUGGGCAACACAGCAAGACCCCAUCUCUAAAACAAGAAAAGAAAUGGAGGCUCGGAGUGACUAAGUCACUUAACUGUCCCAGGUUGGGCUCCUCAGCAAGGAGACUCCAGGGUUAGUAUGCAGUGUGUUCCUCAGGGGGUGCCCUUGAGAUGAUACCCUUGGAAGAGAGGGGAGCAGGAGCCCUAAAGGAGAUGGCCUGUGCCCCUCCGUGGAAGAACAGUGGCCUCAGCAGUGACAACAUUCUGAGUCCUUGGCCUGGGGUAAAAUCAAAUCUGUGUGUCCCUCGUAACAUGCUCAGUGGUGACGACCACCCCAAGACCAAGCACACAUGCCCCAGAACAAAGCCAAGCAUUCCAGUAGCCCCACUUCAUCCUGCUAACCAUGCACACUCUCCAUCCACUUUUUCUCUAAAAAUUAAUUUUUGAGAAUUUUUUUUUUGAGAUGGGAUCUCACUGUGUUGCCCAGGCUGGAGUGCAGUGUGUUGCCCA
rnacentral:lncRNA from 1 species